rnacentral:lncRNA from 13 species
CAGGAGUGCACAGCUGCUGCUGCUCCCAUUCCAGAGCUUGGAGUGGCUGGGGAAAGGCAGCAUAAAUCAGCUAAUGCUGCAGGAGGCAGCAUAUUCAGGAGCUGCUGUGCGUAAUGCCCUCUCGCGUGUGUGUGCUGGUGUGCCCCAGCCCUGCGCGCCUGCAUGCAGCACACGCGUGCGUGUCCCGUGUCCGAGUGUGCACAGAGCCGGGCUGGCUGUACAUAAACACCGAACAUCCUCGCCAGCGCCCGGGGAAGGGCUUGUCUGUGAUGGGGAGGAGAGCAUCGCUCCUGUGCUGCGGGCGAAUACAUCUUGCACGGCCCGCGGUCCUUUGGCACCCGCUCUGGGCUCACGCGAGCACGGUGGGAGCUAACAAAAGGGGUGCACGUGUGCAGGCCAGACUUAGGAGCUGCUCCCCUUCCUUCCCCCUAAAGGCUGGAGAGCAGGAGCCUUCCCCCCGGUCUGGAGAAGGCGAAGUCGUUCGCAAUGAAUCCAUGGCAGCUUCGAUCGAGCGGUGA